rnacentral:rRNA from 1 species
AUUGAACGCUGGCGGCAGGCCUAACACAUGCAAGUCGAACGAGUGGCGGACGGGUGAGUAAUGUCUGGGAAACUGCCCGAUGGAGGGGGAUAACUACUGGAAACGGUAGCUAAUACCGCCUACCCUCGGAUGUGCCCAGGUGGGAUUAGCUAGUAGGUGGGGUAACGGCUCACCUGGGCGACGAUCCCUAGCUGGUCGGAGAGGAUGACCAGCAACACUGGAACUGAGACACGGUCCAGACCCCUACGGGAGGAAGCAGUGGGGAAUAUUGCACAAUGGGCGCAAGCCUAAUGCAGACAUGCGGCGGGUAUGAAGAAGGCCUUCGGGUUGAAAAGUACUUUCAGCGAGGAGGCGUUACUCGCAGAAGAAGCACCGGCUAACUCCGUGCCAGCAGCCGCGGUAAUUC